rnacentral:rRNA from 1 species
CCUACGGGAGGCAGCAGUAGGGAAUCUUUCACAAUGGGCGAAAGCCUGAUGGAGCAACGCCGCGUGCAGGAUGAAGGCCUUCGGGUUGUAAACUGCUUUUAUAAGCGAGAAAUAUGAUGGUAACUUAUGAAUAAGGAUCGGCUAACUACGUACCAGCAGCCGCGGUCAUACGUAGGAUCCGAGCAUUAUCCGGAGUGACUGGGUGUAAAGAGUUGCGUAGGUGGCAUAAUAAGUAGCUAGUGAAAUCUGGUGGCUCAACCAUUCAGACUAUUAGCUAAACUGUUAAGCUCGAGACCGUUAGGGGUAACUGGAAUGUCUAGUGUAGGAGUGAAAUCCGUAGAUAUUAGAAGGAACACCAAUAGCGUAGGCAGGUUGCUGGGACGGUUCUGACACUAAGGCACGAAAGCGUAGGGAGCAAACGGGAUUAGAUACCCGAGUAGUC